rnacentral:rRNA from 1 species
UGAGGAAUCUUCCGCAAUGGGCGAAAGCCUGACGGAGCAACGCCGCGUGAAUGAAGAAGGCCUUCGGGUCGUAAAGUUCUGUCUUUAGGGAAGAAGGCCCUUGAGGUAAAUAAUCUUGAGGGAUGACGGUACCUGAGGAGGAAGCUCCGGCUAACUACGUGCCAGCAGCCGCGGUAAUACGGAGGGAGCGAGCGUUGUCCGGAAUUACUGGGCGUAAAGGGCGCGUAGGCGGGUAAUUAAGUCAGAUGUGAAAGCCCCGGGCUUAACUCGGGGAGUGCAUUUGAAACUAAUUAUCUUGAGGGCAGGAGAGGAAAGUGGAAUUCCUAGUGUAGCGGUGGAAUGCGUAGAUAUUAGGAGGAACACCAGUGGCGAAGGCGACUGUCUGGAGGGUACGUGACGUGGGUGUGAGAGAGAGUGGGGGGCAAACGGUAGUAGAUAACAGAGUAGGU